rnacentral:rRNA from 1 species
UACGUAGGGACCAAGCGUUGUUCGGAUUUACUGGGCGUAAAGGGCGCGUAGGCGGCAAUUCAAGUCAUCUGUGAAAUCUCCGAGCUUAACUCGGAACGGUCAGAUGAUACUGUUUUGCUAGAGUACAGAAGGGGCAAUCGGAAUUCUUGGUGUAGCGGUGAAAUGCGUAGAUAUCAAGAGGAACACCUGAGGUGAAGACGGGUUGCUGGGCUGAUACUGACGCUGAGGCGCGAAAGCUAGGGUAGCAAACGGG